GAAUACAGUUUAUCAAGUUACACAAUCUAUCCAAAAUUUCAUAGGUAGAUUGACUUAAAUCCUUAAAGAUCUUGCCACAUUCAUAAUAUACUGGUGUAUUCUCUAAACCACACCAUUUUGUUAUGGUGUCUAUGGGCAAGUACUUUGAUGAAUGACUCUUUUUUCAGCAUGGAAAUCUGGUAUGUUAAAUUCUUUUCCAUCAUCAGUUCAAAUGCACUUGAUUU
rnacentral:lncRNA from 1 species